GCCAGCAAGGCUGAGAAACGCGUAGCGUACCUCUUUUAAGAGCUAGAUAUGCUUAUCAGCUCUAUAAAAUUUUAACAUGCUUUUAAUAAAUGGUGUUUUAUUUGUUAAAAACCAUUUGUGUUCACAUCAUUAUUCCUGUGAGGCUGAUUGAGCCCAGCUGGGAGUAGCUGACUCCACACCCUGGUUCAGUGAGCUGAGACACUGUGAUAUCUCAAUCUGCUUCAAUCAGCAUGUUGGGUGCUGCUACACUUAUCAUCCUGUGCAUGUUUUUGAGAAGAGCGGCCACUACAGUUUCCUAAUAAUAAGACUUUCUUUGGGAACAUUUGGACAUUUUCUUUUCUGAAAUCCUAAGGGAUUCAACUUCUGGGACUUUGCUCAUCCGAGGAUCCUGGAGUGGUAACACUGAUUGGGAAAUUUGCAUGGCAUUAGAUUAUGCUUAGUUUGGAGUUAGAUAGAAUCCCAGAAUGCUAAAUAAUUGCAGAACUGUUAAUCACUGUACAUCAAAAGUGGAGAACCAAACCUUUUUAUUUCACAAGCUCCUGGGAGAAUGAAACAGAUAUACAAAGCUGAAUGGUAAAAACACAAUUGUUUUGCAAAUAAAAUCAUUCACUUACACAAGGAAUAAUGAAACUUGGGGAUAGAUUUACUAAGUGCCGGGCGGACAUGAUUAGCUGUAGCCGACAACAUACGCUGUCGGCAUUUAACAUUGCACAAGCAUUUCUGGUGAAAUGUUUGUGCAAUGCUGCCCCCUGCACAUUCGCGGCCGCUAGCAGAGGGUGUCAAUCAUCCCGAUUGUAUCUGCUUCUUAACUUGUGUUUCCGGCGAGCUGGAAACUUUGGAUGGAGAAAGCUGCAUCCAGUUGCUUAUUAAAUCCCCCCCUUGGUGUAAUUACAACGUACAUUUGGCCAAUUCAUACACUUCAUAUAAAUAUGACAAGGUAUCUAGAUUAGCAUGAAACAUUUAGUGUUGCUGUGCAUACAGUAUACUAUUAAUUAAGGUAACAAGAAACACUUUGUGACUAUAAUAUCAAUGUGCAAUAAAAAAAAAAAUAUUUUGCCCCCUUUACCUGUAAUUUAAUUCUGCAGACUACACUUGCCUAACCCUGCUGUAUAUUUGUCCUCUAAUUGUUUUUAGUAGAGGUGACAAGAUAAGAGAUUGCAAAUCAAUGCAAGGAGUGCUAACAAAUUUUGUCUGCUCCAUCAAUAAGUUCCUCCAAAUAAGUGAUGGUGAAAGUUUGGAUACGUCAAAACAAUUCCAGUUAAUGUAUUCAUAAUGUGUUCACACUCGAUUGGUAUGUAAUUUAUUGCAAGGUUAUGUCUAUAUACACAAACAAGCAUAAAUAAAUGUAUCUUUAAUGUUGAAAAGGAAA